CAGAUCAGGAAACACAUUCUCAUCAGUUAUGUGAGCAAUGUGGUGUAAUGUUUGUUUCUCUGCCACGGCAUGAAUGUGACACGUCGGCGGUCAGCGAAAGCUCCACAUCCCAAGCAAUCACACAGACGCCGGUGCAUGAUUGACGGCAAAUAGCACAACUCCCGGAAUCCCGAAUUCAUCGCUUCAACCAGUACCCAAUGGGAUAUCCCGUGGCAAUGACAUUACAGAAGAUGAAACACCAGACGACAAACCUUCAUCGCCUCAGCCAGGACCCAGUGGCAUAUCCCGCACAAAUGAAACGCCAGGUGUCGAUUCUUCCCCUCAACCGGGUCCAUUACAAAGGGGAGUGCUACCAGAUGCAGUUUCUAGUCCAGCGUCAUCUCCACCGGAAAAUCCAGAGUUGAUGGAUGUUACGGAAAAUUUUAUGAGGUGCUUUAUCAGACAUUAUUCAGUGCCCUCCCAUGUCCAGGCUGAACCCAUUGCGUUUCUAAACAUGUACAGGGAUUUCUUUGUAAGGGAGAUACGAAAUUAUUUCAUCAGUCACCAUCAAAAUUUUCCUCCCUCAUUGAAA